UUUCCUCUCUUUCCAAAUCUCGUAAUUGUUUUCCAUGGAGCAACACAAGUAUAGUGAUGUCGACGAUAAUAGAUGUUGUUCUAAGUUAUAGAACAUGAAUAUUAUGAAGUAUAAUGAUGCUUAAAAUUAAUUAAUGAUAUAUUAGAUAAGUUGAAUACGCAUACUAAGCACACACAAGAGAGACAAAUUGGGCGUGUGACGAAUAAACGUCAAAACGCCGUGAUAAGUGAUAAUGAACAUA
rnacentral:lncRNA from 1 species